AUUGAACGCUGGCGGCGUGCUUAACACAUGCAAGUCGAUCGGUAACGCGGGGGCAACCCUGGCGACGAGAGGCGGACGGGUGAGGAACGCUUGGGAAUCUGCCCUUCAGCGGGGGACAACACGGGGAAACUCGUGCUAAUACCGCAUACGCUCCACGGAGGAAAGCCGGGGACCGCAAGGCCUGGCACUGAAGGAUCAGCGCAAGUCGGAGUAGCUAGUUGGCGGGGUAACGGCCCACCAAGGCGACGAUCCGUAGCUGGUCUGAGAGGACGAUCAGCCACACUGGGACUGAGACACGGCCCAGACUCCUACGGGAGGCAGCAGUGGGGAAUAUUGGACAAUGGGGGAAACCCUGAUCCAGCGACGCCGCGUGGGUGAAGAAGGCCUGCGGGUUGUAAAGCCCUUUCGGUAGGGACGAAAGCUCUCGACCUAACACGUCGGGAGGUUGACUUAACCUACAAAAGAAGCACCGGCUAACCCUGUGCCAGCCGCCGCAGUAA
rnacentral:rRNA from 1 species